rnacentral:rRNA from 1 species
GACGAACCGUGCGAACGUUGUUCGGAAUCACUGGGCUUAAAGGGCGCGUAGGCGGGCGGUCAAGUCAGGGGUGAAAUCCCACGGCUCAACCGUGGAAGUGCCUUUGAUACUGGCCGUCUCGAGGGAGGUAGGGGCGUGCGGAACUUCCGGUGGAGCGGUGAAAUGCGUAGAUAUCGGAAGGAACACCGGUGGCGAAAGCGGCGCGCUGGACCUUUACUGACGCUGAGGCGCGAAAGCCAGGGGAGCAAACGGG